rnacentral:rRNA from 1 species
GACGAAGGGGGCUAGCGUUGCUCGGAAUCACUGGGCGUAAAGCGCACGUAGGCGGACUCUUAAGUCGGUGGUGAAAUCCUGGAGCUCAACUCCAGAACUGCCUUCGAUACUGAGAGUCUCGAGUCCGGGAGAGGUGAGUGGAACUGCGAGUGUAGAGGUGAAAUUCGUAGAUAUUCGCAAGAACACCAGUGGCGAAGGCGGCUCACUGGCCCGGUACUGACGCUGAGGUGGCGAAAGCGUGGGGAGCAAACAGG